AUGUUGAGUCCAUGGAUUAUACGCACUCUCAUCCUUCCACCAUUGCUCGCCUCUCUAAUACCGCACAACUUUUGCCGGUAUCAUACACCCACCAUAUACCUUCCUCAAAACAGCCACCAUACCUACCUAUCAUGGCAUUUCGAUAGCCAUUUCGAGAUAUAUUUCCAUGAAACUUACCACCGUUCCGUUUAUUAUGACAUGCUUCAUCAUUGUCAUAUUGCUUUGCAUGAUCAUGUAGUUGACAUCGUAUUUGUGGCAAAGCCACCUUUCAUAAUUCUUUCAUACAUGUCACUCAUGAGUCAUUGCACAUCCCGGUACGCCACCAGAGGCAUUCAUAUAGAGUCAUAUUUUGUUCUAAGUAUCGAGUUGUAA
rnacentral:rRNA from 1 species